UACGUAGGCAGCAAGCGUUGUUCGGAAUUAUUGGGCGUAAAAGAGUGUGUAGGCGGUGCUCUAAGUUUGGUGUGAAAUCUCCCGCUUAACUGGGAGGGUGCGCCGAAAACUGGAGUGCUUGAGUAUGGGAGAGGGUAAGCGGGAAUUCCUGGUGUAGCGGUGAAAAUGCGUAGAUAUCAGGAGGAACACCUGUGGUGUAGACAGCUUACUGGACCAUCACUGACGCUGAGACACGAAAGCGUGGGUAGCAAACAGG
rnacentral:rRNA from 1 species